UACGUAGGGGGCAAGCGUUGUCCGGAAUCAUUGGGCGUAAAGCGCGUGUAGGCGGCUCGAUAAGUCUGCUGUAAAAGUCCAGGGCUCAACCCUGGAAAGCCGGUGGAAACUGUCGAGCUAGAGUCCGGAAGAGGCGAGUGGAAUUCCUGGUGUAGCGGUGAAAUGCGCAGAUAUCAGGAGGGAACACCAAUGGCGAAGGCGACUCACUGGACACGUAUUGACGCUGAGGUGCGAAAGCGUGGGGAGCAAACAGG
rnacentral:rRNA from 1 species